rnacentral:rRNA from 1 species
GACGAACGCUGGCGGCGUGCUUAACACAUGCAAGUGGAGCGACGAACCAGGGCUUGCCCUGGGGCAAAGCCGCGAACGGGUGAGUAACACGUGGGUAACCUGCCCCGAAGACCGGGACAACCCGAGGAAACUCGGGCUAAUACCGGAUGUGUCUCCCGAGUACAAGCUCGGUGGGCAAAGGAAGCUUCGGCCCUGCUUCGGGAGGGGCCCGCGGCCCAUUAGCUAGUCGGGGAGGUAACGGCUCACCGAGGCAACGAUGGGUAGCUGGUCUGAGAGGACGAUCAGCCACACUGGGACUGAGACACGGCCCAGACUCCUACGGGAGGCAGCAGUGGGGAAUCUUGCGCAAUGCGCGAAAGCGUGACGCAGCAACGCCGCGUGGGGGAAGAAGGCCCUCGGGUUGUAAACCCCUUUCAGGGGGGACGAAGGCACGAUCGGUGAAUAGCCGGUCGUGCUGACGGUACCCCCAGAAGAAGCUCCGGCUAACUACGUGCCAGCCGCCGCCGUAA